CCUACGGGAGGCAGCAGUGAGGAAUAUUGGUCAAUGGGCUUACGCCUGAACCAGCCAAGUCGCGUGAGUGAAGACUGCCCUAUGGGUUGUAAACCUCUUUUGUCAGGGAGCAACGCCGGCUACGUGUAGCCGGACUGAGAGUACCUGAAGAAAAAGCAUCGGCUAACUCCGUGCCAGCAGCCGCGGUAAUACGGAGGAUGCGAGCGUUAUCCGGAUUUAUUGGGUUUAAAGGGUGCGUAGGCGGAAUGCCAAGUCAGCGGUAAAAUCGCGGGGCUCAACCUCGCUCCGCCGUUGAAACUGGCGGUCUUGAGUGGGCGAGAAGUAUGCGGAAUGCGUGGUGUAGCGGUGAAAUGCAUAGAUAUCACGCAGAACUCCGAUUGCGAAGGCAGCAUACCGGCGCCCAACUGACGCUGAAGCACGAAAGCGUGGGUAUCGAACAGGAUUAGAUACCCCAGUAGUC
rnacentral:rRNA from 1 species